GGUUUCUCUGUGUAGCCCUGGCUGUCCUGGAACUCACUCUGUAGACCAGGCUGGCUUUGAACUCAGAGAUUCGCCGGCCUCUGCCUCCCGAGUGCUGGGAUAAAAGGCAUGCACUGCCAUUACC
rnacentral:miRNA from 14 species